CGCCGCCGCCUCCUCGCCGCCCUCGACCGCUGCCGCCUCCUCUACGCCCCGCGCCCCCUCCUCGCCGCCCUCGACCCCGCGCCGCCCUCGACCUGCGCCGCCUCCUCGAACACCGACGCCCCGCGCCACCCUCGACCGCCGACGCCCCGCGUCAUCUGAAGGUAUGUAUCCCCUCGUGCCCCACCAUGACGCCCGACGAUAUGGCCGCCACAUGUUCGAUGAAAUGUCCAGGUUCCAAUGGAUAGCAACUUUGGGGCCUCAGGGCCGACAUCGUUGACAGGAUUAGGUGAGUUUUUCAAAAAAUAUAAUAAUAGGUUAAUAGCUCAAGCUUUGCCCUAUAUGUUUAUUUGUUCCAUUCGUCGUCGUCGUCGUGUCAUUUAAGCCGCCACGCCCGAUACACAGUAAAGACUUCACUGCACAGCCCCCUACCCCUGUGCCUGCCCAUUUGCCCUCGACCGGAGGGUCGCCCUCCCGCCCCGUCGUGCUGCCUUGCGCGAUCUGUCGCACAAACCUAUUGCGUGUUCACGUAAAUAUUCCUUAUCUCUUGGUCUAUCGUCUUAGGGAUUGAACUCCUGGUUCUGCCUUCCAAGGAGGAAAGAAGCAAAUUUUAGACAUUUCACAAUCGAAUUGUUUACAUGUGACGUAUUAUUUUUAUUCAAAUUAUGAGUUUCUAUGUGAAAUUACUCGUCUGAAAAUUGUUGUGGAUUUUACUUCUUUCUAUCCCUCCCGAAUGCUAAUAUUAGCUUAUUUGUGUCCUGACUCAUUUCGAAGGCUUGCAGAUAUACCAGAAGGAAAAUAAAGGUGCUGUGACUGUAACUAGCACCUUCAGGGCCUUCAGGUCGGAUACCAAAAUUGGUGGAGACUGGAGAGGCUCUGCAACUAAAUCAAACUCUACUCUUUUUUUUUUCUGAAUAUGCUAACAACAUUUCUAAUUUCUGAUGGAGUAGAUUUGUUGUAUAGUCAAUUGAAAGGGGAACGACUUUUAUAUCAAAUCACUGCCGACAUAUCAAAUUUACUUAUAUACAUCACUGCCAUCAUAUCAGAUUUUGACAGCCAUUAUUUAUCUUCAUGCUUGAAUUCUUACAGUCAUUUUGAAAUUAGAUUGGGCGUGGAACUUCCUGCUACUGCUGUUGUUUUAAUUAUCUUUACUGGCAGUACAGUUAUUAUCAUGGAAUAAUCUGUUUUAAUAAUCUUAUUUUAGAUCAAUUUGCAAAUCCAUUUAACUUUACUCGAUUUCGCCCAUUAACAUACCAAUCAUUUCCUAGAACUGCAGAUAACAACUUAUUAAUUACUGUUAGUAGCUUUGAAAAAUAACCCUUAGAUAAAAAUUAAACAUGUAGAUUGAAGUAUUUUUAUUUUUAUUUAGCGAUGCACUGAACUUUUUACUGUAUAAUAGAUUGCGGUGGCAUGGAGAUACACAUGCAAGUUGAUAGCUGAUAGCAAUGAGUAAAUCGAAUAGCUUCUCAGUUCCUCCUCUGCAUUCAGACAUGCUGAGCAACCGGCGUUGAGGACCUUGUUGGCACCCGAGAAGAGGUUGUUGGUCCGGAGUGGUACUGAAGGUAUGCUCUUAUUGUGAUUCACUCUUUAGCACAUGUUAUAGUAUCUAAGGUGCCAUAUAAACUAGCAAGGAUGAACCAGACCGGCAGAGAUUGUUGCCAAGCAAAUUUGAUGGCACAUGAACACAAAAUUGUGAUUUUUGAUAGUUUGCAUUAUAAAUGCUCCUUCUUGUCCUGAGGCCCUUUUCCUUAAAUUUAGUUUACAUGCUGUAGCCAGGCAAUAUUUCCUAAACACUUCAAAAUGGAUAGAGGAAUUCAGAACUGAGAGGGGCAGUGAUUUCUAUAAUUGUGCUGGUUAGGAACAAAACUAAUCAUGUUGACAAGAGGUGAGUGGUUCAGAAGUUUUCUUGUUUUCUGUAGCCUUUUCAUGUUGUCUUGCUUAUCUGAUGGAUUUUGCUCACUGAAACUGGGACUCACUGAAUUGAAGGCAAAUUACAUAGCUCUUGCUUAUGGUCUUCUGUGUUGGAGCACAUCUUCCAUGGGUUUGUGGAUGUGCUCAUCCUGCUCAAGGUUGACUAUAGUUUUGGUCAGUAAAGGGGAUGCAGUUAGUGAUUGAGCUAGAACAGACUUACAUGUAAUAGUCAAGUUAAUCAGUGCAUUGCUUGCAGUUUCAAUGCUUACACCACAAUUUCAUUCCCUGCAAUUACAUUUACAUUUUAAGCUUUGUUUUCUUCUAUACUCCCAACCACUGAACUCGUUUUUUAAUGAAAAUUCAACUUGCUUUUUGCAAGUUCUCUCUGUUUUUUUGCAAUCGGAAAACCGUCACAUGUUCAACACAAAACUAUCACUUAUAAGAACUGUAACAAGCUGAUGGAUGAACUUUGAUAGGUUCCUUCACGAAAUUUAUAAAUGCACCUUACAAAUCUGAAUGCUUGGAGUUAUAUGAGAUGAUGGAUGAAUAUUGCAGGGUAAAGAUUAUGUCACCUUUGACAAUUAAAUUUAAUGUCGAAUGAUUUUUGCGCAUGUAUACUCCAUUUUGUUCGAUUAACUUGAUAUCUGAAUUGUGUUUUAGGAGCCUAUGGACCUGUUUGGCACAGCUCCAGCUCUAACUCUACCCCUCCUGGAGCUGGAGCUCAGCCAAACAGUUUCAGCUCCACCAAAACUAGGAGUGGAGCUAGGUGGAGCUCUCUCACAAAAUAAACUAGAGUUGUGGAGCUGGGUUUAGGCAGCUCCACAACUCCACUCCAAACCCAACUCCUGGAGCUAAAUUUAGGAGUUGGAGCUGUACCAAACAGGCCCUAUAUAAGAUUAUGGUGUGAAAUACAAAAGGGUCAAGCAUGUUUCUCUUGAAACUUCUGAUAGGCAUUUUCUGAUACCUUUUAUAUAUUUUGCACUUACGAUUUGUUCGUUGUUUUACUAUUUCAGAUUGGACGGAGGCAUAUAACCUCUUCAAAGAACAAGGUAUCAAGGAUCUUGUUGUCAAUGUAAAAUAAAAAAAACAAUCUCUGUUGGUAGGUAAUACUACAAUGUUGAGAUAAUACUCCUCAGUGGCUGAUAACAAUGUAGAGGAAUAGUUUCUAGAGCCAAAGGGUGAACAUCAAGGUUUAAUACUUCAAGGUUUAAGUUGCAACUUACGCGCUACUGCACCAACCUACUUGUGCCGUUUAGACAUCACUUUUUAUAGUGUUGUAGAUGUUAGAUUAUUGUCACAGAGCCAAAUAAUAUUUGUUUACCUCCUUUGUGCUUCAAGAUUUGUGAAUAUGCUUUCUGCUA